CGACACUCAUUGUUAUAUUAUACUUUAUGUUUCAAAAACAGUAAACUACCAAUACAUUAGCACACACACAUUUAAGAAAGCAACACUCUAUAGAAGCUCAUAUACUUCAUCACCAACCAAUCAGUAAACUCCCACAAAACAUAUACCAAACUUAACCUAAGACACAAACACCCAUAUUAGCAUUAUAUUUUUCAAGCCUCUUCCUCCUCGUACCCCUCUUCAUCUUCCUCGUACUCACCUUCCUCAUCAGCAGUUGCAUCUUGGUAUUGUUGAUACUCCGAAACCAAAUCAUUCAUGUUACUUUCAGCUUCAGUAAACUCCAUCUCAUCCAUUCCUUCACCUGUGUACCAAUGCAAGAAAGCCUUUCUCCUAAACAUGGCGGUAAACUGCUCGCUCACACGCCUAAACAUUUCCUGAAUCGAUGUCGAGUUUCCAAUAAACGUGGACGCCAUUUUCAGACCCGUUGGUGGGAUGUCACAAACGGUUGACUUCACAUUGUUUGGGAUCCAUUCAACAAAGUAAGACGAGUUCUUGUUUUGUACAUUGAUCAUUUGUUCAUCCACCUCUUUAGUGCUCAUUUUACCACGGAACAUGGCCGACGCGGUUAAGUAGCGGCCGUGGCGGGGAUCAGCUGCACACAUCAUGUUUUUGGCGUCCCACAUUUGUUGGGUGAGCUCGGGUACUGUUAGAGCGCGGUAUUGCUGGGACCCACGCGAGGUUAGGGGUGCAAACCCGACCAUGAAGAAGUGGAGCCGAGGGAAUGGGAUUAGGUUGACUGCAAGCUUGCGGAGGUCGGAGUUUAGUUGACCUGGGAAGCGGAGGCAGCAGGUGACACCGCUCAUGGUGGCGGAAAUCAAGUGGUUCAAAUCUCCAACUCUGGGAGUGGUGAGCUUGAGUGUACGGAAACAGAUAUCAUAAAGAGCCUCAUUGUCGAGGACCAUGCAUUCGUCUGCAUUCUCGACCAGUUGGUGCACCGAUAGGGUGGCAUUGUAGGGCUCGACCACUGUGUCGGACACCUUGGGUGAUGGGAAAACUGAGAAGGUGAGCAUCAUCCGGUCCGGAUACUCCUCCCUUACCUUGGAUAUCAACAAAGUCCCCAUUCCGGAC
rnacentral:lncRNA from 1 species